rnacentral:lncRNA from 1 species
GUGGAUUCUGGAGAUGACGUCAGCACUCUCGAGUACCCAGGGAGGUAAGACCAACCUUGACCAUCGCCACUGAGUAUCACAAUACCAGAGAUUUCUGUGAAUCUUCCCACUCCACUGGAAUUUACCAAUGCAAGAAUAUGAUCCCAUGAAAAUACCACUGGUUUUGGAUUGUUAAAAACAAAGGCAGCUGCUUCCUUUCCUGUGUAAGACUGAAGAUGGGAUGUUUGUGUU